AACCUGCCCAAGAGAUCGGGAUAACACCUGGAAACAGAUGCUAAUACCGGAUAACAACAGAUGAUGCCUAUCAACUGUUUAAAAGAUGGUUCUGCUAUCACUCUUGGAUGGACCUGCGGUGCAUUAGCUAGUUGGUAGGGUAACGGCCCACCAAGGCGAUGAUGCAUAGCCGAGUUGAGAGACUGAUCGGCCACAUUGGGACUGAGACACGGCCCAAACUCCUACGGGAGGCAGCAGCC
rnacentral:rRNA from 1 species